rnacentral:rRNA from 1 species
GUCAAAUCAUCAUGCCCUUUAUGACCUGGGCUACACACGUAAUACAAUGGCGCUGAAACAAAGGGCAGCCAAGGCGCGAGCCUGAGCGAAUCCCAAAAAAGCGUCUCAGUUCGGAUUGCAGGCUGCAACCCGCCUGCAUGAAGUCGGAAUUGCUAGUAAUCGCGGAUCAGCAUGCCGCGGUGAAUACGUUCCCGGGCCUU